rnacentral:misc_RNA from 1 species
GAUGAAGAACGUAGCGAAAUGCGAUACGUAAUGUGAAUUGCAGAAUUCAGUGAAUCAUCGAAUCUUUGAACGCAUAUUGCGCUCUCUGGUAUUCCGGAGAGCAUGCUUGUUUGAGUAUCAGUAAACACCUCAACUCCCUUUCUUCUUGAAAUGGAGCUGGACUUGAGUGAUCCCAACGCUUUAUUCAUAAAGUGGCGGGUUACUUGAAAUGCAGGUGCAGCUGGACUUUUCUCUGAGCUAUAAGCAUAUCUAUUUAGUCUGCCUCAAAACAGAUUAUUACCUUUGCUGCAGCUAACAUAAAGGAGAUUAGUUCUUGUGCUGACUGAUGCAGGAUUCACAAAGACAGGCUUCGGCCGACUUUGUAAAAUCGAUCUCAAAUCAAGUAAGACUACCCGCUGAACUUAAGCAUAUCAAUAAGCGGAGGA